rnacentral:rRNA from 1 species
CUUUCCUUGACGACGACUGGCGCACGGGUGAGUAACGCGUAUCCAACCUUCCCAUGACCACGGGAUAACCCGUUGAAAGACGGCCUAAUACCGUAUGACGUCGUUUGCCGACAUCGAAAGACGACCAAAGGUUUGGCGGUGAUGGAUGGGGAUGCGUCUGAUUAGCUUGUUGGCGGGGUAACGGCCCACCAAGGCGACGAUCAGUAGGGGUUCUGAGAGGAAGGUCCCCCACAUUGGAACUGAGACACGGUCCAAACUCCUACGGAGGCAGCAGCC